rnacentral:rRNA from 1 species
GGGUUGUGAGGUUAAGCGACUAAGCGUACACGGUGGAUGCCCUGGCAGUCAGAGGCGAUGAAGGACGUGCUAAUCUGCGAAAAGCGUCGGUAAGGUGAUAUGAACCGUUAUAACCGGCGAUGUCCGAAUGGGGAAACCCAGUGCAAUUCGUUGCACUAUCGUUAACUGAAUACAUAGGUUAACGAGGCGAACCGGGGGAACUGAAACAUCUAAGUACCCCGAGGAAAAGAAAUCAACCGAGAUUCCCCCAGUAGCGGCGAGCGAACGGGGAGCAGCCCAGAGUCUGAAUCAGCUUGUGUGUUAGUGGAACGGUCUGGAAAGUCCGACGGUACAGGGUGAUAGUCCCGUACACCAAAAUGCACAGGUUGUGAACUCGAAGAGUAGGGCGGGACACGUGGUAUCCUGUCUGAAUAUGGGGGGACCAUCCUCCAAGGCUAAAUACUCCUGACUGACCGAUAGUGAACCAGUACCGUGAGGGAAAGGCGAAAAGAACCCCGGCGAGGGGAGUGAAAAAGAACCUGAAACCGUGUACGUACAAGCAGUGGGAGCACCUUCGGGUGUGACUGCGUACCUUUUGUAUAAUGGGUCAGCGACUUAUAUUCUGUAGCAAGGUUAACCGUAUAGGGGAGCCGCAGGGAAACCGAGUCUUAACUGGGCGUUAAGUUGCAGGGUAUAGACCCGAAACCCGGUGAUCUAGCCAUGGGCAGGUUGAAGGUUGGGUAACACUAACUGGAGGACCGAACCGACUAAUGUUGAAAAAUUAGCGGAUGACUUGUGGCUGGGGGUGAAAGGCCAAUCAAACCGGGAGAUAGCUGGUUCUCCCCGAAAGCUAUUUAGGUAGCGCCUCGUGAAUUCAUCUUCGGGGGUAGAGCACUGUUUCGGCUAGGGGGUCAUCCCGACUUACCAACCCGAUGCAAACUACGAAUACCGAAGAAUGUUAUCACGGGAGACACACGGCGGGUGCUAACGUCCGUCGUGAAGAGGGAAACAACCCAGACCGCCAGCUAAGGUCCCAAAGUCAUGGUUAAGUGGGAAACGAUGUGGGAAGGCACAGACAGCCAGGAUGUUGGCUUAGAAGCAGCCAUCAUUUAAAGAAAGCGUAAUAGCUCACUGGUCGAGUCGGCCUGCGCGGAAGAUGUAACGGGGCUAAACCAUGCACCGAAGCUGCGGCAGCGACACUAUGUGUUGUUGGGUAGGGGAGCGUUCUGUAAGCCUGCGAAGGUGACCUGUGAGGGUUGCUGGAGGUAUCAGAAGUGCGAAUGCUGACAUAAGUAACGAUAAAGCGGGUGAAAAGCCCGCUCGCCGGAAGACCAAGGGUUCCUGUCCAACGUUAAUCGGGGCAGGGUGAGUCGACCCCUAAGGCGAGGCCGAAAGGCGUAGUCGAUGGGAAACAGGUUAAUAUUCCUGUACUUGGUGUUACUGCGAAGGGGGACGGAGAAGGCUAUGUUAGCCGGGCGACGGUUGUCCCGGUUUAAGCAUGUAGGCUGGUUGUCCAGGCAAAUCCGGAUAAUCAAGGCUGAGGUGUGAUGACGAGGCACUACGGUGCUGAAGUAACAAAUGCCCUGCUUCCAGGAAAAGCCUCUAAGCAUCAGGUAACAUCAAAUCGUACCCCAAACCGACACAGGUGGUCAGGUAGAGAAUACCAAGGCGCUUGAGAGAACUCGGGUGAAGGAACUAGGCAAAAUGGUGCCGUAACUUCGGGAGAAGGCACGCUGGUGUGUAGGUGAAGUCCCUGCGGAUGGAGCUGAGACCAGUCGAAGAUACCAGCUGGCUGCAACUGUUUAUUAAAAACACAGCACUGUGCAAACACGAAAGUGGACGUAUACGGUGUGACGCCUGCCCGGUGCCGGAAGGUUAAUUGAUGGGGUUAUCCGUAAGGAGAAGCUCUUGAUCGAAGCCCCGGUAAACGGCGGCCGUAACUAUAACGGUCCUAAGGUAGCGAAAUUCCUUGUCGGGUAAGUUCCGACCUGCACGAAUGGCGUAAUGAUGGCCAGGCUGUCUCCACCCGAGACUCAGUGAAAUUGAACUCGCUGUGAAGAUGCAGUGUACCCGCGGCAAGACGGAAAGACCCCGUGAACCUUUACUAUAGCUUGACACUGAACAUUGAGCCUUGAUGUGUAGGAUAGGUGGGAGGCUUUGAAGCGUGGACGCCAGUCUGCGUGGAGCCAACCUUGAAAUACCACCCUUUAAUGUUUGAUGUUCUAACGUUGGCCCCUUAUCGGGGUUGCGGACAGUGUCUGGUGGGUAGUUUGACUGGGGCGGUCUCCUCCCAAAGCGUAACGGAGGAGCACGAAGGUUAGCUAAUCCUGGUCGGACAUCAGGAGGUUAGUGCAAUGGCAUAAGCUAGCUUGACUGCGAGCGUGACGGCGCGAGCAGGUGCGAAAGCAGGUCAUAGUGAUCCGGUGGUUCUGAAUGGAAGGGCCAUCGCUCAACGGAUAAAAGGUACUCCGGGGAUAACAGGCUGAUACCGCCCAAGAGUUCAUAUCGACGGCGGUGUUUGGCACCUCGAUGUCGGCUCAUCACAUCCUGGGGCUGAAGUAGGUCCCAAGGGUAUGGCUGUUCGCCAUUUAAAGUGGUACGCGAGCUGGGUUUAGAACGUCGUGAGACAGUUCGGUCCCUAUCUGCCGUGGGCGCUGGAGAAUUGAGGGGGGCUGCUCCUAGUACGAGAGGACCGGAGUGGACGCAUCACUGGUGUUCGGGUUGUCAUGCCAAUGGCACUGCCCGGUAGCUAAAUGCGGAAGAGAUAAGUGCUGAAAGCAUCUAAGCACGAAACUUGCCCCGAGAUGAGUUCUCCCUGAGACUUUAAGUCUCCUGAAGGAACGUUAAAGACGAUGACGUUGAUAGGCCGGGUGUGUAAGCGCAGCGAUGCGUUGAGCUAACCGGUACUAAUGAACCGUGAGGCUUAACCUUACAACGCCGAAG